GACGAACGCUGGCGGCGCGCUUAACACAUGCAAGUCGAACGGAAAGGCCUGCUUUCCCUUGUGGAUUGCGGGUACUCGAGUGGCGAACGGGUGAGUAACACGUGAGUGAUCUGCCCCCAACUUGGGUAUAAGCCUGGGAAACUGGGUCUAAUUCCCGAUAGAACUGCAGGGUGGUGCCGGUGGUGGAAAACGAUUUUCUAGUGGUUGGGGAUGAGCUCGCGGCCUAUCAGCUUGUGGGUGGGGUAAUGGCCUACCAAGGCGGCGACGGGUAGCCGGCCGGGGAGGGUGGACGGCCACAUUGGGACUGAGAUACGGCCCCGACUCAUACGGGCGGCAGCAGUGGGGAAUAUUGCACCAUGGGCGGAAGCCUGAUGCAGCGACGCCGCGUGGGGGAUGACGGCCUUCGGGUUGUAAACUCCUUUCGACCGCGAGGAAGCCACCUGGUUGGAAGGGUGGUGACGGUAGUGGUAGAAGAAGCACCGGCUAACUACGUG
rnacentral:rRNA from 1 species